rnacentral:rRNA from 1 species
AUUGAACGCUAGCGGCAGGCCUAACACAUGCAAGUCGAACGAGUGGCGGACGGGUGAGUAAUGUCUGGGAAACUGCCUGAUGGAGGGGGAUAACUACUGGAAACGGUAGCUAAUACCGCAUACCAUCAGAUGUGCCCAGAUGGGAUUAGCUAGUUGGUGGGGAAACGGCUAACUAAGGCGACGAUCCCUAGCUGGUCUGAGCGGCUGACCAGCCACUAGGGAACUGAGACAGGGGCCAGACUCCUACUGGAGGCAGAAGUGGGGAAUAUUGCACAAUGGGCGCAAGCCUGAUGCAGCCAUGCCGCGUGUAUGACGAAGGCCUUCGGGUUGUAAAGUACUUUCAGCGGGGAGGCGUUACCCGCAGAAGAAGCACCGGCUAACUCCGUGCCAGCAGCCGCGGUAAUAC